rnacentral:rRNA from 1 species
GCACAAGCGGUGGAGCAUGUGGAUUAAUUCGAUGCAACGCGAAGAACCUUACCUGGGUUUGACAUAUGCCGGGAAGCUCUAGAGAUAGAGCCCCUUUUGUCGGUAUACAGGUGGUGCAUGGCUGUCGUCAGCUCGUGUCGUGAGAUGUUGGGUUAAGUCCCGCAACGAGCGCAACCCUCGUCCUAUGUUGCCAGCACGUAAUGGUGGGGACUCAUAGGAGACUGCCGGGGUCAACUCGGAGGAAGGUGGGGAUGACGUCAAGUCAUCAUGCCCCUUAUGUCCAGGGCUUCACGCAUGCUACAAUGGCCGGUACAAAGGGCUGCGAUACCGCAAGGUGGAGCGAAUCCCAAAAAGCCGGUCUCAGUUCGGAUUGGGGUCUGCAACUCGACCCCAUGAAGUCGGAGUCGCUAGUAAUCGCAGAUCAGCAACGCUGCGGUGAAUACGUUCCCGGGC